GUGGGGAAUAUUGGACAAUGGGGGGAACCCUGAUCCAGCCAUGCCGCGUGUGUGAAGAAGGCUUUUUGGUUGUAAAGCACUUUAAGCGAGGAGGAGGCGCCCUAGAUUAAUACUCUUGGAUAGUGGACGUUACUCGCAGAAUAAGCACCGGCUAACUCUGUGCCAGCAGCCGCGGUAAUACAGAGGGUGCGAGCGUUAAUCGGAUUUACUGGGCGUAAAGCGUGCGUAGGCGGCUUUUUAAGUCGGAUGUGAAAUCCCCGAGCUUAACUUGGGAAUUGCAUUCGAUACUGGGAAGCUAGAGUAUGGGAGAGGAUGGUAGAGUUCCAGGUGUAGCGGUGAAAUGCGUAGAGAUCUGGAGGAAUACCGAUGGCGAAGGCAGCCAUCUGGCCUAAUACUGACGCUGAGGUACGAAAGCAUGGGGAGCAAACAGGAUUAGAUACCCCUGUAGUCC
rnacentral:rRNA from 1 species